rnacentral:rRNA from 1 species
AGCAGCCGCGGUAAUUCCAGCUCCAAUAGCGUAUAUUAAAGUUGUUGCAGUUAAAAAGCUCGUAGUUGAAUUUCGGGAUCAAGGAAUCGGUCAUGCCUUGGUAUGCACUGGUUUCAUUGAUUCUCACCUUCUAAAGAACCAUAAUGUCAUUUAUUUGAUGUUAUGGGGAAUUAGGACUGUUACCUUGAAAAAAAUUAGAGUGUUUAAAGCAGGCUUACGCUUGAAUACAUUAGCAUGGAAUAAUGAAAUAGGACAUCAGAUUCUAUUUUGUUGGUUUCUAGGAUCGAUGUAAUGAUUAAUAGGGAUAGUUGGGGGCAUUAGUAUUCAAUUGUCAGAGGUGAAAUUCUUGGAUUUAUUGAAGACUAACUACUGCGAAAGCAUCUGCCAAGGAUGUUUUCAUUAAUCAAGAACGAAAGUUAGGGGAUCGAAGACGAUCAGAUACCGUCGUAG